AGAACGAACGCUGGCGGCAGGCUUAACACAUGCAAGUCGAACGCCUAUAGCAAUAUAGGAGUGGCGCACGGGUGAGUAACACGUGGGAACAUGCCUUUCAGUUCGGGAUAACAGCGGGAAACUGCUGCUAAUACCGAAUAUUCUCUCCGGAGGAAAGAUUUAUCGCUGAAAGAUUGGCCCGCGUUAGAUUAGGUAGUUGGUGGGGUAAUGGCCUACCAAGCCUACGAUCUAUAGCUGGUCUGAGAGGACGACCAGCCACACUGGAACUGAGACACGGUCCAGACUCCUACGGGAGGCAGCAGUGGGGAAUAUUGGACAAUGGGCGAAAGCCUGAUCCAGCCAUGCCGCGUGUGUGAUGAAGGCCUUAGGGUUGUAAAGCACUUUUGCGAGGGAAGAUAAUGACGGUACCUCAAGAAUAAGCACCGGCUAACUUCGUGCCAGCAGCCGC
rnacentral:rRNA from 1 species